rnacentral:rRNA from 1 species
ACGAGUGGCGGACGGGUGAGUAAUGUCUGGGAAACUGCCCGGUGGAGGGGGAUAACUACUGGAAACGGUAGCUAAUACCGCAUAACGUCGCAAGACCAAAGAGGGGGACCUUCGGGCCUCUUGCCACCGGAUGUGCCCAGAUGGGAUUAGCUUGUUGGUGAGGUAACGGCUCACCAAGGCGACGAUCCCUAGCUGGUCUGAGAGGAUGACCAGCCACGCUGGAACUGAGACACGGUCCAGACUCCUACGGAAGGCAGCAG